GCACGAGAAAGGGCUUCGGCCCCGGUAAAGUGGCGCACGGGUGAGUAACACGUGGGUAACCUUCCCUGGAGCGGGGGAUAACAUUCCGAAAGGAGUGCUAAUACCGCAUAAGACCACGGCCUCGAAAGAGGCUGAGGUAAAAGCAGGCCUCUGUACACAAGCUUGCACUCCAGGAUGGGCCCGCGGCCCAUCAGCUAGUUGGCAGGGUAACGGCCUACCAAGGCGAAGACGGGUAGCUGGUCUGAGAGGAUGAUCAGCCACACUGGAACUGAGACACGGUCCAGACUCCUACGGGAGGCAGCAGUGGGGAAUCUUGCGCAAUGGACGAAAGUCUGACGCAGCGGCGCCGCGUGGGUGAUGAAGGCCUUCGGGUUGUAAAGCCCUGUGGGGAGGGACGAAUAAGUAGAGGCUAAUAUCCUCUAUGAUGACGGUACCUCCUUAGCAAGCACCGGCUAACUCUGUGCCAGCAGCCGCGGUAAU
rnacentral:rRNA from 1 species